GUAACUUUUUUGUUGUCAUCGUCUUCAUUCGUCUCUUCUAACAUGCAAUAAUUCAUCCAGCUUUAAAAAUCUAAAUAGACUAAUUAAAAGCAGUAUUAUAUUGUGUUUUCAGUCUCUCAUGAUGCAGACAGACAUCUCGAUGUAUCAGAAUCAAAGACGAGCAGAUCAUCUGAGCACC
rnacentral:lncRNA from 1 species